CAGCAGCCGCGGUAAUACGUAGGUGGCAAGCGUUGUCCGGAAUUAUUGGGCGUAAAGGGCUCGCAGGCGGUUUCUUAAGUCUGAUGUGAAAGCCCCCGGCUCAACCGGGGAGGGUCAUUGGAAACUGGGAAACUUGAGUGCAGAAGAGGAGAGUGGAAUUCCACGUGUAGCGGUGAAAUGCGUAGAGAUGUGGAGGAACACCAGUGGCGAAGGCGACUCUCUGGUCUGUAACUGACGCUGAGGAGCGAAAGCGUGGGGAGCGAACGGGAUUAGAUACCCCAGUAGUCCCUGUCUCUUAUAC
rnacentral:rRNA from 1 species